CUUGGUCAUUUAGAGGAAGUAAAAGUCGUAACAAGGUUUCCGUAGGUGAACCUGCGGAAGGAUCAUUAGUGAACGCCCUCACGGGCUUAUAACUAUUCCAAACCUCUGUGAACCGUGCCCUUCGGGGCUAUUUUACAAACAUGGUGUAAUGAACGUCAUAUAUCAUAACAAAACAAAACUUUCAACAACGGAUCUCUUGGCUCUCGCAUCGAUGAAGAACGCAGCGAAAUGCGAUAAGUAAUGUGAAUUGCAGAAUUCAGUGAAUCAUCGAAUCUUUGAACGCACCUUGCGCCCUCUGGUAUUCCGGAGGGCAUGCCUGUUUGAGUGUCAUGUAGACUCAAUCCCUCGGGUUUCCGAGGAGAUUGGACUUGGGUGUUGCCGCUCUGCCGGGUCGCCUUAAAAGACUUAGCGGGAUAGCACCGUAGUCGGCGUAAUAAGUUUCGUCGGUGAAGGUUGUGAUGACUGCUUACAAUCGCCCUCGGGCAAUUUUUGACUCUGACCUCAAAUCAGGUAGGACUACCCGCUGAACUUAAGCAUAUCAAUAAGCGGAGGA
rnacentral:rRNA from 1 species